rnacentral:tRNA from 1 species
GGGCCGGUAGAUCAGCUGGAAGAUCGCUUGCUUGGCAUGCAAGAGGCCUCGGGUUCAAGUCCCGACCGGUCCACCA